rnacentral:rRNA from 1 species
UACGUAGGGUGCAAGCGUUAAUCGGAAUUACUGGGCGUAAAGCGUGCGCAGGCGGUGAUGUAAGACAGAUGUGAAAUCCCCGGGCUCAACCUGGGAACUGCAUUUGUGACUGCAUCGCUGGAGUGCGGCAGAGGGGGAUGGAAUUCCGCGUGUAGCAGUGAAAUGCGUAGAUAUGCGGAGGAACACCGAUGGCGAAGGCAAUCCCCUGGGCCUGCACUGACGCUCAUGCACGAAGCGUGGGGAGCGAACAGG